rnacentral:rRNA from 1 species
UACGGAGGGUGCAAGCGUUAAUCGGAAUUACUGGGCGUAAAGCGUGCGCAGGCGGUUUGUUAAGUCCGUUGUGAAAUCCCCGGGCUUAACCUGGGAACUGCGUUUGAAACUACAAGGCUAGAGUGUGGCAGAGGGGGGUGGAAUUCCACGUGUAGCAGUGAAAUGCGUAGAGAUGUGGAGGAACACCGAUGGCGAAGGCAGCCCCCUGGGUUAACACUGACGCUCAGGCACGAAAGCGUGGGGAGCAAACAGG